rnacentral:tRNA from 1 species
GGGGAUUUAGCUCAGUGGCAUAAGCACCUGCCUUGCAAGCAGGCGGUUGUGAGUUCAGGGGUUCAAUCCCUG